rnacentral:rRNA from 1 species
AGGAUAAACGCUGGCGGCGUGCCUAACACAUGCAAGUCGCACGUCCUACGCAAGUAGGGAGUGGCGGACGGGUGAGUAAUACAUGGGUACCUGCCCCGAAGUGAGGAAUACCACCGAGAAAUCGGUGACAAUACCGCAUACGUUUCCUUCGCAAGAAGGAAGGAAAGCCGCAAGGCGCUUUGGGAUGGGCCUCUGGCCGAUUAGCUAGCUGGUGGGGUAAUGGCCUACCAGGGCGACGAUCGGUAGCUGGUCUGAGAGGAUGAUCAGCCACACUGGGAUUGAGAACGGCCCAGACUCCUACGGGGGGCAGCAGUGAGGAAUUUUCCGCAAUGGACGCAAGUCUGACGGAGCAACGCCGCGUGCAGGAAGACGGCCUUCGGGUUGUAAACUGCUUUUCUCUGGGACGAGUACGGACGGUACCAGAGGAAUCAGCCCCGGCUAACUACGUGCCAGCAGCCGC